rnacentral:tRNA from 1 species
UAGGUCAGUAGUUUUAAAUGGUAAAACAGCGGUCUCCAAAACCGCAUGUUGGGGGUUCGAGUCCCUCCUGGCCUGU